AAAGUAUCUUCGGAUAUGAUUAGAGCGGCGGACGGGUGAGUAACGCGUAGGGAUGUGCCUAUGAGUACGGAAUAACCGUUGGAAACGACGGCUAAUACCGUAUACGCCCCAAGGGGGAAAGCUCCGGCGCUCAUAGAGCAACCUGCGUCCGAUUAGCUUGUUGGUGAGGUAAUGGCUCACCAAGGCCGCGAUCGGUAGCUGGUCUGAGAGGAUGGUCAGCCACACUGGGACUGAGACACGGCCCAGACUCC
rnacentral:rRNA from 1 species